AUCGAACGCUGGCGGCGUGCCUAAUACAUGCAAGUAGGACGCAGUUGCGAACGGGUGAGUAACGCGUAGGUAACUACCUAUUAGAGGGGGAUAACUAUUGGAAACGAUAGCUAAUACCGCAUACUAGUAGAUGGACCUGCGUUGUAUUAGCUAGUAGGUAGGGUAAAGGCCUACCUAGGCAACGAUACAUAGCCGACCUGAGCGGGUGUGCGGCCACGCUGGGACUGAGACGCGCCCCAGACUCCUACGGAAUGCUGCAGUAGGGAGUCUUCGGCAAUGGGGGGAACCCUGACCGAGCAACGCCGCGUGAGUGAGGAUGGUUUUCGGAGCGUAUAGCUCUGUUGUUAAGGAAGCGGUACUUAACCAGGAAGGGACGGCUAACUACGUGCCAGCCGCCGCGGUAAUAC
rnacentral:rRNA from 1 species